rnacentral:rRNA from 1 species
UCGCAAUGCCCGAAAGGGUGACGAAGCGACGCCGCGUGUGGGAAGAAGGCCUUCGGGUUGUAAACCACUGUCGGGAGUUAAGAAAUGCAAGAAUGUUAAUAGCGUUUUUGCUUGACUAAGGCUCCGGAGGAAGCCACGGCUAACUCUGUGCCAGCAGCCGCGGUAAUACAGAGGCGGCAAGCGUUGUUCGGAAUUAUUGGGCGUAAAGAGCACGUAGGCGGCUAUAUAAGUCGGUUGUGAAAGCCUUCCGCUCAACGGGAGAACAGCAUCCGAAACUGUGUGGCUUGAGUGUGGGAGGGGAGAGCGGAACUUCUGGUGGAGCGGUGAAAUGCGUAGAUAUCAGAAGGAACGCCGGCGGCGAAAGCGGCUCUCUGGCCCAUAACUGACGCUGAGUGUGCGAAAGCUAGGGGAGCAAACGGGAUUAGAUACCCCGGUAGUCCUAGCCGUAAACGAUGGGCACUAAGUAGAGGGGUUUU